rnacentral:rRNA from 1 species
UACAGAGGUCUCGAGCGUUAGGCGGAAUCACUGGGCUUAAAGCGUGUGUAGGCGGAUCGGUAAGUACCUUGUGAAAUCCCACAGCUUAACUGUGGAACUGCUUGGUAUACUGCCAGUCUUGAGCCAGCUAGGGGCUACCGGAACAAAUGGUGGAGCGGUGAAAUGCGUAGAUAUCAUCAGGAACACCAGUGGCGAAAGCGGCUCACUGGGUCUUUCCUAACGCUGAGGCACGAAAGCUAGGGGAGCGAACGGG